ensembl:misc_RNA Metazoa_SRP Metazoan signal recognition particle RNA
GCCAGGUGCAGUGGUGCAUGCCUGUAGUCCCAGCUACUGAGAGGCUGAGGUGGGAGGAUCGCUUGAGCCUAUGCGCUAUGCGGAUCAGGUGUCCACACUAAGUUUGGCAUCAGUGUGGUGACCUCCUGGGAGCCAGAGACCACCAGGUUGCCUAAGGAGGGUGAACCGGCCCAGGUCGGAAACAGAGCAGGUCAAAACUCCCGUGCUGAUCAGUAGUGGGAUCGUGGAGGUGAGUAGCCACUGCACUCCAGCCUGGGCAACAUAGCAAGACCCCAUCUCUA